UGGGGAAUAUUGGACAAUGGGCGAAAGCCUGAUCCAGCAAUGCCGCGUGAGUGAUGAAGGCCUUAGGGUUGUAAAGCUCUUUUACCCGGGAAGAUAAUGACUGUACCGGGAGAAUAAGCCCCGGCUAACUCCGUGCCAGCAGCCGCGGUAAUACGGAGGGGGCUAGCGUUAUUCGGAAUUACUGGGCGUAAAGCGUACGUAGGCGGUGGUUCAAGUCAGAGGUGAAAGCCCGGAGCUCAACUCCGGAACUGCCUUUGAAACUAGAUCGCUAGAACAUCGGAGAGGUAAGUGGAAUUCCGAGUGUAGAGGUGAAAUUCGUAGAUAUUCGGAAGAACACCAGUGGCGAAGGCGGCUUACUGGACGAUUGUUGACGCUGAGGUACGAAAGCGUGGGGAGCAAACA
rnacentral:rRNA from 1 species